GAAACAUGACACUAGAGAGGAAAGACAACAGGGAAAGUACAGUGGAUGACAAAUAAUGACCAUCUGGGCUGAUGUCAUCCAGCGACUACAGCUCACAGGUGCUGGAGAGAUGUCAACACCGUAGGGAUGAGAAGCUCUUUGUAUUAUACCUGGUCUGGAGAGAGACACAUGGACCAAAGAGCUCCAUCAUGGGCGUCAGUCAUCUCCAGAAGGCUUCCUGAGGCCAGAGCUUGAAAGCCCGUAGUCGUGGCAGGUAUUCUGCAAACCAUCUCAUUUUGUGUUCCACAGAAGAAAAUCAUGCAGGAACAAAUAACGAGCAGAGAGCAUAUUCACAUCCCAUGGUACGAAUGAUCUGCAAGGUGGACCUGACCAAAGAAGAUACAUGUUAAGGACUCAAAAUCUAUGAACCCAUGCAAAUAUAUUGAAACAUUUGUCAUCAU